GAAAUGCGAAAAGUAGUGUGAAUUGCAGACUUUAGUGAAUCAUCGAAUCUUUGAACGCACAUUGCGCCCCUUGGUAUUCCAUUGGGCAUGCCUGUUCGAGCGUCAUUUACACCCUCAAGCAUUGCUUGAUGUUGGGUGCUUGUCUGCGCCGAUUGCGUAGACUCGCCCUAAAAGCAUUGGCAGCAUCUUGCCAGCCUCUCGCGCAGCACUAUGCGUUCUUUUGGGGCUUUGGCAAGUUAGCAUCCAUCAAGAUCUUCUCCAGUUUGACCUCGAAUCAGGUAGGGAUACCCGCUGAACUUAA
rnacentral:misc_RNA from 1 species